UCAAGUUCAUUUUCAAAAUUUUCAUCGUCCUCUUGUAUUUGUGCCACAAUGUCAUCUAUUGAAUCAGAAGUCUGCUUGGCAGCAUUAAAAAGUUCACCCAAAAAAGUGUUAGGGUAUUCAUUUUUUAUUCUUCUCUUCUUUAUAGAAAGAAAUAAAAUUUUGCAAGCAUUAAGCUUUUGUAGUAACGAAUUGGCGAGUUGAAUCUGUUCUUCUGACCGAAAAACCUCUUCCGAAUGUGCUUCUUUUGAGUCAUCUUCACUUUCACUACCAAAAUCAUCCCAAUUUGAAUCGUCUCCCUCCUUAUAAUCUUCUAAGUCACUACGAGCAUCUUCAAGCAUUGAGACAAAAUUAUCCCAUUCUUCAAGCAUAUAACCAACUAUUCCUUCCGACCCCAAUUUUUCUAUUUUUUCACAAGACUCCCACAAAAUUCCAGUAUCUAUUAAUCUACCUCUUGUCUUCCAAUCUUCUGAUAUAUACCCUAACGGUUUAGGAGAUACGCUUCGUAACAGUGCUUCAAUUCCAAAUAAGACGCGUUCGGCAUACAUUUUGAGUCGAUUUUGAAUAAUUUCUCCAUACUUUUCUGCAUUGAAUACUUGAACAGCUGCAAUUAAAGGAGUAAUCGUUGUAGCCAUAUCAUUAGCAUAUUUUUCAAGUGCAUCUCUAGUGAUGGGCGGUUUUGCAGCUACAGAAAGUUUUGUAGUAUAUUGAUGAAUUAAAGUGGCAACAUCUUUAAGCAUAGAAAGAGGGCUUUCAACUAAUUCGGAAGGUAAUUCAAUGGGCUUCAUAUCAUCCAGACAUUUUCGAGCAGUGACUACAAUCUUUAAAACAUUAUUCAAGGAUUUCACUAUUUCAUCUACAAAUUAGCUAAAAUUGAUGAUAAAAUCAAUCGUACCUUCCUCUGCUUGAUUCUUUACCAUAGUGUCAGACAUUAAGAAAGUAUAUUGGCAAAAAGCAACUUGCUCACUCUACCUAAGCUUUAAGUGGAUACUC